AUGUACCGGCUGCUGUCAGCUGUCACGGCCCGGGCCGCGACCCUCGGGGGCUGGGCCUGGGGCCGCGGGCGGCGCGGGGCCCACCAGCGCGCCGGGCUGCCGCCGCUCGGCCCGGGCUGGGCCGGGGGCCUCGGGCUGGGGCUGGGGCUGGCGCUCGGGGUGAAGCUGGCGGGUGGGUUGAGGGGCGCGGCCCCCGCGCAGCCCCCGGCGGCCCCCGACCCCGAGGCGUCGCCCCAGGCCGAGCCGCCGCCGGAGCAGCCCGUCGCUCCGGGGGCUGCACAGACCCCGACGCCGCCCCUCUCCCGGCGCUUCGCCAGAGCCAUCGACAGCAGCCGCGACCUGCUGCACCGGAUCAAGGAUGAGGUGGGCGCCCCAGGCAUAGUGGUUGGAGUCUCUGUAGAUGGAAAAGAAGUCUGGUCAGAAGGUUUAGGUUAUGCAGAUGUUGAGAACCGUGUACUAUGCAAGCCAGAGACGGUUAUGAGAAUUGCCAGUAUCAGCAAAAGCCUCACCAUGGUUGCUCUUGCCAAACUGUGGGAAGCCGGGAAGCUGGAUCUUGAUGUUCCAGUACAACAUUAUGUUCCUGAAUUCCCAGAAAAAGAAUAUGAAGGUGAAAAGGUUUCUGUCACAACAAGAUUAUUGAUUUCCCAUUUAAGUGGAAUUCGUCAUUAUGAAAAGGACAUGAAAAAAGUGAAAGAAGAGAAAGCUUACAAAGCCUUGAAAAUGAUGAAAGGGACAGUGGAAUCUGACCAAGAAAAAGAGUUCAGAGAAAAAGGAGGCAAAAGUAAUGAAAAGAGUGACUUUGCCAAAGCUAAGAUAGAGCAAGAUAGUGAUGCCAAAGGCCGGAACUUAAAACCUGGAAAGAAAAAGAAUGAUUUUGAACAAGGCGAAUUAUAUUUGAAAGAAAAGUUUGAGAAUUCAAUUGAAUCACUAAGAUUAUUUAAAAAUGAUCCUUUGUUCUUUAAACCUGUCAGUUUUUGUAUUCAACUUUUGGCUAUACCCUAUUGGCAGCCAUAGUAGAAAGAGCUUCAGGAUAUAAAUAUUUGGACUAUAUGCAGAAAAUAUUCCAUGACUUGGAUAUGCUGACAACUGUGCAGGAAGAAAAUGAGCCAGUGAUUUACAAUAGAGCAAGGUCCAACACUACAUUCUACUGGAAAGCAUAAGAAAAAUUGACAAAUACCAGAGGUUGCCGAUUGAAUCUAAAAGAUUCACUAAUAAAUGUGGCAUAGAUGCAUGACUUUAUUUUAUUUCAGAUCUAGGCAUUUGAUAAUGAAUGCCUACACUUAUAUAUAAAGUAGAGAAGAACAUUAGGUAUAAUCAAUGAACUGCUUUUCUAUACUGAAAAUUAAGAUUCUAUGAAUGUACAGACUACAAGGCAGUUUGCUGUUUUCUUAAUGAGUAAUUUAUAGCUUGCACAAAAAUCAAAAUAUGGCAUAUGAUGAUGAGUUAAUUUCAUUUUAUCUUCCAUUCUUUUAAGGAAAAAAAAGGCUGUGGGUUUCCAUUUCUUCUAUUAAAGGUUCUUAUAAGCUCUGAGUUUGUUAGAUUUGAAAGUACCCAAUGGUGCUAAAGAGGUAGUGAAUUCAUUUUAGUUAUAUUAAAUGGGCUGCUGAAAAGGGGCACUAAAAAAAGGAGGAAAUAUUGUUACCUUUGAAAAUGGUUUGUCCGUUUGCUUCAUUCUUAUUUUACUUGAUGCAGUAUCUCCUGGGGCCUCUAAAGCUCAACUCUGGUUCUUUUUUUGGUAAUAGCUAUUUUAAAAGAGCUUAAAUACACCAGUUUUUAAGGGAGUUCAGGGUGUAAAAGGAAACUUCAAAGAUAUGUAUUUAUUUUUUUUAAUUUUUUUUUCAAAGAUAUGUAUUUAAAAAGAAAAAACUUAAGGUAAAACUUAAUAAGUGCAUAUGUUUCUAUUCAUUUAUGUUCAUAUGUUUGCAGGAGAUAAAAUUUCCAGCAAAAGUUUGCAGCUUUGUUAUUUAGUCUACUGAAUCUUUGACCAUAAUCAUAUAUUAAAUAUAUUUAUAUUACCUUAACCUAGGCUUUUUAGAGUUAUUGGUAACCCUAGAGUAAAUACUUGCCAUCUUUUUGCUCGUGUGUAUGUGUGUGUGUGUGUGUUUAAAAUAAUGCGUCCCAGUGUCUGUCAUCUUUUUAAGGUAUUUAUUUCCCUAGAAUCCUGCCUCAAAAUACUACUAAGAUUUCUUCAGCCAAAAUUUUAGCAACAGGCCACACUUAGCUGUGAGAGAUGCAGAGAAAUUAGUUUUUAGCUGGGUAGAUUGUUCUGAGUAAAACUGGGAUUUUCUUAAAUGGAAGGCUAGGAACAUUGACUUAUUAUACACAGAUGUAUUUGUAACAAGUAUAUUCUAUAUGGGCAAAUAAACUAAUCUUUUAAGUAAA